rnacentral:rRNA from 1 species
UACAGAGGGUGCAAGCGUUGUUCGGAAUUAUUGGGCGUAAAGCGCGUGUAGGCGGCCUAGUAAGUUGGGUGUGAAAGCCCUCGGCUUAACCGAGGAAGUGCGCCCAAAACUGCCUGGCUUGAGUACCGGAGAGGAUGGUGGAAUUCCCGGUGUAGAGGUGAAAUUCGUAGAUAUCGGGAGGAACACCAGUGGCGAAGGCGACCAUCUGGACGGAUACUGACGCUGAGACGCGAAAGCGUGGGUAGCAAACAGG